GAAAUAUGAUGUGUCGAUGGUUAAAAGAAUUCGUCUGAUUUUUGAGGGUAGGUAAUGAGAAAUGAAAGUUUCCAUCUCGUUCUCUUUGGAUACUCUGCUUUGGGGCUCUGAGCCAUGAUGUAAGAUGUUUGAGGCCGCCAUCUGGUAAGCCCAGGCCAUAUGUAGAUUAUGUGACCAACAGCUCCAGCUGAGGAUCCUGCCAACAGCUAGCAUGCAUCCAGGUGAUUCCCACUCCCAGCCUUUAAGUCCUUCCAGCUGAGGCCUCAGAUAUCAUGGAGCAGAGACAAAUGUGGACACAUACCUCUCAUGAAGUGCCUUUUCAGGAAUUAAUUCUGCUGUUAGAGAAGUACCUAUGUCUUCAGAGAAUGUAAAGGUCAUAAGACCCUCAUUUCAGAAGAGGUCCUGCCCAUACCUGGAAGGGAUGCUACACAGUGAGACCAAGAAGACUGAACAGAGAGGCCUUUCUGGGUUUCCCCUCUGAGUCUAUUAGCAUCAGCUGUAUCCCUUUUGUUCCAUCACAUUUCUACAUGGUUGCUCAGUCUUCAAUCGUGCCCAUUCAGUGAAAUCUCCAUAAGACGCCCAAAGAGGAUGGGGUACAGAGAGCUUGGACAGCUGAACACAAAGAGACUUACAGGAAAGUGAACAAGACUCAUCUACAGUAGGGUGGGAGCACCCUAACUCCAUGCGAAUGGAAGCUCCUGCACUUGGUACCUUUUCAAACCUCGCACUAUGAAUUUCUUUAUCUGGCUUUUUAUUUAUAUCCUUUAAAAUAUCUUUUAUAAUAAAUGGAUAAAUGUGUUUCCCUGAGUUUUGUGAGCUGCUCUAGCAAAUUGACUACGCUUAAAGAGGGGGUUGUGGGAACCCCAACCGGAAGCUGGUAGAUCAGAAGUUCAGAGGCCUGGACUUGCGACUGGUGUCUGACGCGGGGCAGUCUUGUGGGAACUGACACUAUCUCCUGGAAGAUGACAUAAGAAUUGAAUUGGAUUAGAAGACGCCCAGC
rnacentral:lncRNA from 1 species